GCCAGGCUUUACUGCAGGUGUAUUUAGCCAAGAUGGCAAUCAGACUACAUGAAUGAACCAAAUUGAUGAGUUUCUUCAUAGUAUUAUGGGACAGGCAAAGCGAAGGCAACAUCCCAACUACCAAAUUCUAAACAAGCAAUGGAAACAAAUAGUUAUACAGAUAACUAAUCAAUAAAAUCUUUUGACUUUGGUCACAUCAAUUUGUUAGGCUU
rnacentral:misc_RNA from 1 species